UGAAACUAUCCUCCUUAAAGGCAAUGGAAUUACACUCUCAUUUUAAAUUAAAAACAUUUAUAAGAUUAUGGACCUAUAGAAGAGAAAACUAUCAUACUACAGAUAUUCUGUUUUUUACUUUAAAACCUGUAAUGAUGCAUCACAAUAACUUUCCAAGACAACGAAUGAUUAAAAAAAACAACUAAUACCUAAAACAACUAAGUUUUCACAGGUGUCCCAACAGUAUUCGUGAGCCGAUUGAGGUACAAGGUCUACCUUUUCAAGUGCUUACAUAAUUGUGCAAUACUGGGGUGAGAGGUGAUGGACGGGACCCUGGUUUCAAAGUGUUUGUUUCCAUGGUGAUAUUUAGAGUAAAAAGAGCAAUCAAGUCUCAAUGAGUGGCGUGACAUUGAGGAUUUACUGGUUUCCUUCUGCAUACUGCUGGAACCAGUCGCCUCACGGAGUGUCGAACACGUACGACUUGUCAACACUGACACAGAGCCAAACAGCAGGAAGAUCGUUCUUUUCACUCUUGUCAGAAGAAUGAACCGAUGUGGGCCUUUGACAGUUACCGAGAGGGGACAAGAGCAAACAAGAUGAGCAAAAAGAGAAAAAAAAUAACCAGUAAAUUUGAAGGGCCUAAGGCUUCUCAGAAAAAAACGAUGCCAGGAACUGAGCAAGGAGUAGUUGCUUGACUUGUCUCAAAGAAAAGGCUAACAUGAAAUGCUUCACAAGAGAUGAAGCUCACAGAACACCACUGCUCAACUGCGGGAUGAUGUCUUCAUGGAUCUGGCGCAUGUUUUUCAUGAUCUAUACCACCAGGGUGAUCUCCAGAUCACCAGUGUCAAAAUGGCCUGGGUUUGUAUGAAGCCAUGUUUUUGGACCCCAUCCCAGGCUGCUAAAUUAUGGAGACAAGGAAUGGACACUGUUUACAUCACUGACCUCCCUACCCCAGGGAUCAUUCUGUAUCCUGGAGUUUGACUCUCACUCCUCUAUGACUCUGUUAUCUCACAAGUCUAUAAAAUAAUAUAUGACCAUUUGGAAUAAAGGCUGCCUAAUGGAAACAUUAGGGAUAAAAAAGAACUUGAAAACUAAUUAGCAGUGCUUACUACACUCAUCUUCUCAAAAUACAAGAUGUCAAAAUUAAAGUUUUCUGAUUGCAUUA